rnacentral:rRNA from 1 species
GUUGCCUCGGCGGUGCCUGUUCCGACAGCCCGCCAGAGGACCCCAAACCCUGAUUACAUUUAAGAAGUCUUCUGAGUAAACCGAUUAAAUAAAUCAAAACUUUCAACAACGGAUCUCUUGGUUCUGGCAUCGAUGAAGAACGCAGCGAAAUGCGAUAAGUAAUGUGAAUUGCAGAAUUCAGUGAAUCAUCGAAUCUUUGAACGCACAUUGCGCCCGCUAGUAUUCUGGCGGGCAUGCCUGUCCGAGCGUCAUUUCAACCCUCAAGCCCCCGGGCUUGGUGUUGGGGAUCGGCGAGCCUCCGCGCCCGCCGUCCCCUAAAUCUAGUGGCGGUCUCGCUGUAGCUUCCUCUGCGUAGUAGCACACCUCGCACUGGGAAACAGCGCGGCCACGCCGUUAAACCCCCAACUUCUGAACGUUUGACCUCGGAUCAGGUAGGAAUACCCGCUGAACUUAAGCAUAU